GGGACGCGAGAGGGAUGAGGCUGGGUCCCGCACCAGCUUAGAGCGUGGUGACCGAUCUCUCAACUUUGGACAGUGCAGAAGAAAAAGGGUGGGGUUUCCUUACCCGCAGCACCCCCGCCCCACCUCGGCGGCUCCUUGUUCUUUGGGUUGGGAUUGGAAGAGAGAUGGAGAAGAAGGGCUGGGGAUGGGACCUUGAAUGGGGGUGGUGUAAAAGGAGGGGGCAGUAGAGGCGGAGAAGCAGGGGGAGGGGGAGGGAGGAGGGGAAGGCCUGCUCCCGGCCUAAGCUUUUCAAAUGUAACUGGUCUUCUUUGUGUCCGAGACCAAAGGCAAUUAGCUCAUUGGGACCAUUUCCGAGCUGGCGCCACCGAGCCCUGGAAAUGCCAAGCCUGUCAUCCUUAAUGGUGCCGGCGUCAUUACGGGACCGCUGGUGACGCCACUCAUUGAUUGCAAGUGGAUAAAUAGAGACGUCUGCCACGCCGAAGAUGAAAGGAGGCCCGAAGCUAAUAGCUAGGCGGUGAUGCGCCAGGUGUGGUGUGGACAAGCUCGAAUGGGGAGGAGAGUGUGAGAACAGAGACGGGCGCGAGCAGUGGCCGAGAGGGGAAAGCAGGGGGAUGGGGUGGAGGGGGGGAUGCAAAUGGGACACGGUCGAAAAGCAGCCUCUUCGGCCUUUCGGGAGGAAGGGGCGCCGAGGGAGCGGCGCUUCCCAAUUGGGGGGCCGCCUUUUGAUGUUUUUGUUUUGGUAAACCGAGACCUUGAUCUAGCCUGGCUGAGUCGGGGGGUCCAUAAGUGCAUUUAGAAGUGUGAAGAGAGCCUCGCCAACCUCAGCUUUCGUUUGAAUUCUUUAGCUUAUUGCCACCAGCUUGCGAACCUCACCAGAGGCUUGAAAGAAUCUAUUUACAAGCUUCAAAAAAGAAGGAAAAAGAAACCUGAAUUUUUCUAAGACGUGAAAAACGGCCUGGGUGGGGGGUAGGGAGUCAGUCUCUGUUGGGGGCUUUUUCUUCUAGGUCCUUCCCUGUUCCUCUGCCCAUUCUCCAGGUUUGUCUGCUACAGUACUCUGAAGCACAUUCUCCUUCUCUGCUUGACUUUCCUACAGGUCAACAUGGAGGUUCUGUUUGGAGGGGUUGCCUGUGGGUUAUCUUUCAAACCCGCGCUCAGAGGGCGGCCUGACAGUAAUCACCGAUUCCUUGCGUCUUCCUCUCCUAGAUAGCCUGUGGUUCCAGACUACUUCGGCUCUGAGCACGGGCACUUCUUCCUGAAGUCCAGGAAAGAAGAUCCCAUUGGACCUUCCCGAUUGGAAUUGGCUGAUUGAGUCUGAUGGAGAGAGCCUGGAAUCUGCUGCUCUGCUCGCUCGGGUUGGAUGAGACUAGCCAAAGGCAGAACUCUAGGCCCACUGUAGAAUCCAGAGAAAGUGGGGCUGAGGGGCGGGGUUGGUAGGAGGAUCUAAACAGACUAGGCAUUUGCUUGUAGAGAGAGUAGGCUGAGAAUGCGGAAUUCUGAAGCUACCUUCGUCCCCCUCUCCAAAGUCGGCACGAAGCCAGUCAUGGCUUUUGUCUUUCUUUCCUUCCUUCUCAAACCCGAAGUCUUCCAGAACAUCUGAAUUCCCUAGGCUACCGGAAGCUACCCCAGCGAAGGGACUCGGCCUUUCUAAGCCAAUCCUUCACUAUUUUGAUCACCGCCUUUCUCCCCCCAUCCCACCUCCACAGUCUCCACCCCCAGUCACUUUCACUGGGCUUCCGAUCCUUCCCGGUAGGGUCCGACUAGGAAUAAAUCUGUCUCUAUCCAAGCCACUUGGGACCCGCUUCUUGGAAAACUCCACCUUCCCUCCACCAUUCCCCUCCCUUAAUACGAUUGAGUGGGAUUUCCCUCCCUUUGGCUAUUUCUUCCUCUUCGGUAUUUUCUGGAGGCCGAAGAUGGGGGCGUGGUGAUCUCAAAAUCAUAGCCCCCCCCCCCCGCUUAGGUUCUGUGCUUCCAGAGGUGCACAACACAGAUGUGUCCCUCCAUUAGGGGUUUUUCCCUUCCGUCCAGCAAACAAGAUAACAGAUGCAGAAAGCUUUGUAAAUCUUAAAGGGCUCUGGGAAUGGGAAUGACAAUUAUUUUGGUAUUAUAACUAUCCCUUGGAAAUUGGAAGGAAAAGGGGUCCCCAAGGGAUGGAAAGUCUUUGCAGACAGGUAGAGUGAGCCUAGGAAAACUGAGGUCAAGUUCCAGAACACUGCGACUCUUCCCCCAGGAUGGAAGCUUCAACAACGACAACCCAAUUAUCUGUCCUCUCCAGUUCUCCGGAGUUUCUAAUGGAUUUCGUUUCUAUUCCAAUAUGUUGGGAUUUGCUCUACCGGGCUUGCUGACUGGGGUCGUUUGGACUGCAACCGAAUUGGGGAAAGGGGGAGUGCAGCGUGAGAAUACCAUUGCAUUGAGUUGAAUCGAGUGUUGGAUUCUUUUCCUAAAAUUUUGUUUCCCAAAGUAGACCUUAAGGAGCUGAAGAUAUACCGACAAGAGAAAAAAAUGUAAAGAAAGAGAAGGGGGGAAAGGGAGGAAGAAAGGAAGGAAAGAAGGAAGGAAGGAAGAAGGGAAGGAGAAAAGAAUUAGGAUUAACGGAAGGAAAGAAGAGAGGACAAAGGGAGAAAGAGAAAGAAAAAAAGGCAAAAAGGAGAAAAGAGAUAAGAGGAAAGACCUUCCCCUUCCACCUCCUUCUUAGGGUUUGGAGCAGGGACGCCUACUGAUGCCUGGCUGGCAUCACUGUUACUGUUUCAUUACAAUUCUUUUAGCGACAUUGGUGAAAUCUGGAAGGAAGUCCAGAGAAGUCCAAUCUCCCCGCUCGCUGUCUGGGCCCAGCUAGCCCAAGAAGGAGUCAGAGAAAACCAUAGGCAACCAGGCUUUCGAGGAAAGCAUCUGGAAGGGUCACGGGGAGCCCAAGAAGGGAAAAUGAGCAGCCAGGUUGGGUACAGCCAUUUCUGAAAAAUUUCUCCUCCGGCGUUUAACUAAGAACGGCUGUAACAGAUUUACCAUUAUAAACGCCUGACAAAGUAUUCGAUAAUCUGCCCGAGCAGUCCCCCACCUCGCUAGCGAGAGGCUCGCCGGCCUUCGAAGCCCACUUGGCGAGCCCCUGUUCCGUAGACUGACCGCGCACAUUUCGGGGACAGAGGACCUCAAAGG